rnacentral:rRNA from 1 species
UACGUAGGGGGCAAGCGUUGUCCGGAAUCAUUGGGCGUAAAGAGCGUGUAGGCGGUCCGGUAAGUCGGCUGUGAAAGUCCAGGGCUCAACCCUGGGAUGCCGGUCGAUACUGCCGGACUAGAGUUCGGAAGAGGCGAGUGGAAUUCCCGGUGUAGCGGUGAAAUGCGCAGAUAUCGGGAGGAACACCUAUGGCGAAGGCAGCUCGCUGGGACGUUACUGACGCUGAGGAGCGAAAGCGUGGGGAGCGAACAGG